rnacentral:lncRNA from 1 species
UCAUUAGAAAGCUAAAACAAAAUACUACAAAUGUUAUGAAGGGACCACAGCCCAGAUCAAUCUUUAAGAUGGCAAAAAAAAGCUAGGAACACAGACCAACAGUCUAGACCUGAUUCAGCAGAACUAAUUUCAAUGUUUAUCAAAUUUCUACUUAUCCAGACACUCAAAUCACACCAAUCCAAAACCAGAGAAGUCUCAAGACACAGGGCAACAACUCUCAUGAAGAUGGUGUUACAUUUACUUGUGAAUACUCAAUUACUUCUAAUUCAUAAUUUUAGUUUUAUGAUUUAUAUGUUAAGUUAAGAUGGUGUCUCCGGCACCGAAUGUGGCAUCCGCCGUCGGGUCUCUCGGGACUGGGCGGAGGGUGUUACAUUUAGUGGUAUCAGAGCAUAGGUUUAGACGGUUCUAGGACUAUAUGUGUAUAUAUGUCGGAAUUUAUCUAUUUUGAAGCGAGAGUAUGAGUAAUUUAAGUUAAAUACAUGCCAUAUUUGUUUGAAUUGGAAACAACCAGCAAUUGGAGAGUGGUGUCGUGGUAAGCGGAGUAUAUAUUGAGGUUACUACUGAUGAUUAAUGGUUAUAUCCUUUUAAACCAGUUGAAUAAAUUAUUCUUGGAGGAAAUUCUUAGAGAAUAAGGGAUAGAGAUUCGAUGUGGUGGUUAUUGGAGAUGAGAUAUUAUUAAGGAAUUAAAGGAUUUGUGUUCUUUUUCUUGAGUUGAUAUGUUUUCCAAGUGAUAGAAAUAUAUUGAAGAUUUGACUUUUGAAAAUAUGAAUUUUAAUUUCGAAAUU